CCGAGCUACAGUGUCAGCCAGACAAGUGUGUGCUGCGGUGCAGAAACUAGCAAUUCCAGAAUACAUUGUUGUCAGUUUUUAAUGAGUCCUGAGUAAACUUGAACAGACCAUAAUCUGAAUGAACGAAGUGAUUCACAGUCCCGUGCGCCAGGAGUUUGUUACUUUUGGCGGAGUCUUGGCUAGGUUUCUUAAAUCCUUGGAAACCUUAGAUUUUGGAACUGGAUUCUCCUUGACGAAGGAGAUGGCGAGCCCCAGUGAGUGAGAUACCUUCUUAAUCCAAGGAGAGGAUCAAGAUUUCAUGUUGCUGAGGAUGGAUUACUCUCGUCAUUUUCAUCGCUGAAAUGCUGUGUGGUAGGAUCGUCCACAUCUGACCACAUCUGACUAUUUGACUCUUGACAGACUUACUGAACCCGAGAGCACUUUGAAACUGCACUUCACUUGACGUUAUCCCUUUUGACUAAAGCUAGCUGAACUGGUCAAACCUGGAACUUAAAGGAACAAUUACAUGAACAUUUGAAGGAACACUGAAAGAAGAUAUAACUCAGCUGGAACUUUUAUUUUUUCAACUUAUUAUUUAGGAUUGAAGGGUGUUUAUGUUAUGUGUUAAAACUGAACACUGUCAACUGAGCAAUUGCACAAAACUACAUUCAUUUAUUAUUGUUUUUAUAUAAAACCCUAUACAGUUCAAGUCCAACCAUCUUGUGGCUCCAUUUAUUCAUUGUUCUGAUUUUCCUUUCUUGUAACUCUUGCUACGAAUCUAGGUCUGGUCCUUAUCCUUUAGUCACCUCAGUGGGUUACAUAUACAAAGGAAUAGCUUGUUUGAAGAGUGUCAGUCAGGCUUUAGAGUGCAUCAUGGCACAGAAACAGCUCUGGUGAACGGUACUAAUGACCUUCUCAUAGCAUCAGAUAAUGGACUGGUCUCAGGACUUGUUUUGUUGGCCCUUAGUGCAGCAUUUGACACAAUCGACCACAAACUUUUACUCCAGCAACUAGAACAUUCUAUUGGCAUUAAAGGGACAGCACUGGACUUCGCUCAAGCAGUUGGCUAUCACUUGAAGCCUACACUGAAGUUGGUAAAAAUGCUUUUAGCUUUUCAGCUGCACAUAGUUGGAAUAUCUUGCAGAAAACACUCAAGCUUAUUGCAGCCAUAUCUGUUGACCAGUUUACAUCCAUUAUCUGAGAUACUCCUUGACUGUUUAUAACUGCGCUUCUCUCUUUGUUGUAUUAAUUUGUUGUCUUAACUUUCUUGACGCCUUUUUAUCCUGUUGACUGUACUUCUGACAUCAUUGUAAAUAAGUACUUGCCUUCAAUGAUUUCUUGAGAUUUAAAUAAAGGUUGGAUGAAUAAAUGAA